rnacentral:rRNA from 1 species
AGUCCGAGUUGUAAUUUGUAGAAGAUGCUUUGGGUGCUUGGCCCGGUCUAAGUUCCUUGGGACAGGACGUCGUAGAGGGUGAGAAUCCCGUAUGCGGCCGGUGUCGGCGCCCGUGUAAAGCUCUUUCGACGAGUCGAGUUGUUUGGGAAUGCAGCUCAAAAUGGGUGGUAAAUUUCAUCUAAAGCUAAAUAUGGGCCAGAGACCGAUAGCGCACAAGUAGAGUGAUCGAAAGAUGAAAAGCACUUUGGAAAGAGAGUUAAACAGUACGUGAAAUUGUUGAAAGGGAAGCGCUUGCAACCAGACUUGGGCGUCGCUGAUCAUCCAAAGGACUCUCUUUGGUGCACUCGACGAUGCACAGGCCAGCAUCGGUUGGAGUGGUGGGAGAAAGGUUGCCGGAACGUGGCUCUUUUCGGAGAGUGUUAUAGCCGGCGACGCAAUACCGCCUACCCCGACCGAGGACCGCGCUUCGGCUAGGAUGCUGGCGUAAUGGUUGUAAGCGACCCGUCUUGAAACACGGACCAAGGAGUCUAACAUCUAUGCGAGUGUUUGGGUGUGAAAACCCAUGCGCGGAAUGAAAGUGAACGUAGGUGAGAACCC